AUACGGAGGAUCCGAGCGUUAUCCGGAUUUAUUGGGUUUAAAGGGUGCGCAGGCGGCCAUUUAAGUCAGCGGUUAAAUCGUGGGGCUCAACCCCAUUCUGCCGUUGAUACUGGGUGGCUUGAUUGCGGUCGAGGUUGGCGGAAUUCGUUGUGUAGCGGUGAAAUGCAUAGAUAUGACGAAGAACACCGAUUGCGUAGGCAGCUGACCAGACCGCAAAUGACGCUCAUGCACGAAAGUGCGGGGAUCGAACAGGAUUAGAUACCCUGGUAGUCCGCGCAGUAAACGAUGAAUACUUGUUUUCGGCGAUAUAAUGUCGGAGGCAAAGCGAAAGCGAUAAGCAUACCGCCUGGGGAGUACGGUCGCAAGAUUGAAACUCAAAGGAAUUGACGGGG
rnacentral:rRNA from 1 species